rnacentral:rRNA from 1 species
UACGUAGGGUGCAAGCGUUGUCCGGAAUUACUGGGCGUAAAGAGUUCGUAGGCGGUUUGUCGCGUCGUUCGUGAAAACUUGGGGCUUAACUCCAAGCGUGCGGGCGAUACGGGCAGACUUGAGUACUACAGGGGAGACUGGAAUUCCUGGUGUAGCGGUGAAAUGCGCAGAUAAUCAGGAGGAACACCGGUGGCGAAGGCGGGUCUCUGGGUAGUAACUGACGCUGAGGAACGAAAGCGUGGGUAGCGAACAGG